CAGCUGCUGAGGCUGGAGACGCUCCGUG
rnacentral:sRNA from 1 species